CCCUGGUGUGGGCGUGGCCACCUUUUGCACACACGCUCCACUGAUGGGCACCUGGGGAAGCCCUGUCCCUGCCUCUACAUGCACUUGACUGAAUGGAGUGCUGCUGGAUGGCCCCUCAUUGGGGCCACUCCUGCUUACAUCCUGCCAACACUGGCCAGUACCUACCUCUUUACUGCCUGGCAGCCUGAUGGGUGGGGCUGCAGUCUAUCCGUCCUCACUUCACAGCCAUCCCAUGCGUAUUCCAGAACCGCAGUCCCUUGUUGCUUAAGAUGCACAAAUAUCAUCCUCCUCCUGUCUGCCGUGUUGCCGGUGGAGUCCUCCUCUGAACCAAGAUCCUGAAUUCCAGCUGGAUAUUUUUGAGGAACUUGAUAAACUUACCCUAAAAUAUAUGGAGGGGACGCCUGGGUGGCUCAGUCGGGGUUGAGUGUUCGACUUUGACUCAGGUCACAAUCUUACGGUUCAUGGGUUCGAGUCGCACAUCGGACUCUCGGCUGUCAGCACAGAGUCCGCUUCGGAUCCUCUGUCCCCCCACCCCCCCCGUCCCUCCCCCACUUGCUCUCUCUCUCUCAAAAAUCAAUAAACAUUUAAAAUAUAUGGAAGAAUAAAGAUCUGUAAGUGGC